AUGCUCCCAUUCUUCAUUACCACUCCUGAGCUCUCCCUCCUACCUAGCAAUUUUGUGAGCUUCUGUGUUGUAGCUUUGCUGCCGAUGGGUGAAGCUGGAGCACCGAUGCAAUAUUUGCUGGAACUCUGGAAUGAGUGGGAGAUCCAAGUUGUUAUAGUUGCCAGCUUCAGUCUGCAGGUUAUCCUCUUCUUCUUUGCAGGCAUCCGCCGCUACAACACCUCGUUUGUUGUCAAGGCCCUCCUCUGGCUGGUGUAUCUGCUCGCCGAUGUCAUUGCAGCAUAUGCCUUGGGGCACAUGUCCUCGUCAUUGUCGAAGAAAUCGAACCAGCUGAUGCCGUUCUGGGCGCCAUUCCUCGUCCUGCACCUUGGCGGCCAGGACACCAUCACCGCCUAUGCCCUGGAGGACAAUGAACUCUGGCUGCGCCACCUGCUAAACAUGUUUGUGCAGGUCGCCGGCACCGCGUAUGUGCUGUACAAGUACAUCAAAGCAGGCGGGGCGACCUUUGCCCGUGCCGCUAUGUGGGUUCUGGCCGCCGGAGUUUUCAAGUACGUCGAGAGGAUACGGGCAUUGAAGCUUGCAAGCAAGAAAGGUUCUGCUCGUGGUCCGAGUGGUUGGAAUAUUCUGUGUAACCUUUAUGCGUGCGUCCUAAGGAGAGAGUACCCUUCCAGGCCGUCACCUCCGGCGUGGAUGAAUGGAAGAUACAGCAUCACCAAAAACAAAAAGUUUGGAAUUUAUGCAUUUAUUGUAGCGAAAGCACACAUGUUGUGCCUUAUACUUGUCAAGCCUUUAAUCAUAGACAGGAAUGAGGCGUCCAUAAAUUGGAAUUGUGACGAGAUGGCCCUACUAAAGGGUCAUGGGCAAGGAUAUCAAUGGGACGACGACAAGAGCAAAGUUGCAUCGGAAGAGGAGAAGAGGCAAAUUGGCGAGGUGUGCACGGAAAUAGAGGUGGAGCUCGGCCUGAUGUACGACAUGUUGUACACCAAGGCAGAAGUGAUCCACACAUGCAGUGGCUACUGCACCCGUGCCAUUUCAUUUCUGUCUUGCUUUGCCGCUCUUGUGGUCUUCACAAAGAGCAAAAGAGAUAGCUACACCACAACCGACAUUGUGAUCACUUUUGCUCUUCUGGGCGGAGCUUGCGCAAUGGAGGUGGCAUCUGUUUUCAAGGCGAUUGGGUCGACCUGGGCAUUUGCUGUCCUGAUAGACCACGGAUGGUAUCGACUGGCCGAUGCGAUUCUUUUUGCACGGUCCCACCUUGUCGUCGUCAAGGAUGGAAGGUGGUCCAAUUCCGUCGGGCAAUUUGACUUCAUAUCUUCUUGUGUUCGCAGCAGCAAGUUCGACCUCAAGGAAAUAAUAGCCAUUUUGAUUGGGGCCCGGGACUUGUGGAAGAAAGCUUGCUACACAAAGCAUGUCGAGCUUUCGCCUACCCUGAAGGAGUUCGUUUGGGACUUCCUCAAAGGUACUAAGAGUCAUCUGGUUGAAAUUGAAGAAGUGGAAUUCCGAAGUGGGAACUGGGCUCGCAGGUUCAAGGGCAUUGACCAGAGCGAACAUGACCUCGAUUGCAGCCUGAGUUUUGAAUUUCAUAAAAGCAUGCUUAUCUGGUAUAUAGCCACAAGCACGUUCCUCAAUAACCCUACCGUCGAGAAGCUGGUCAACAAGAAAAUGGCUCAAGAAGUCAAUACUCUCUCUCAGUACAUGAUGUACCUUCUCGUCCAGCACCCUGACAUUUUGCCCAAGAAACCAGCUGCUCGAGACCUGCUUGACCAAACCCGUAGAAAUUUCCCUUUCUGUCGUCAGAGAGACGGCUUUGAUGAGGGUGGGCGUCAGGUAAUUCUGGAUUACAAGAUGCUUGCAGAAGAGGAUGAUGUGCUGAUGAAAGCAUGCACCCUUGCUCACACAAUGCUCGUCAUGAAAUUGGGGCUCGCACACAAGAUGGCGAUAAUUGGAACAGUGUGGAUGGAGAUGUUGUGCUACGUAGCAACCAAUGCAUCUGGGGGAUUCCACGCCAGGCAGCUGAGCAAUGGUGGUGAGUUUCUGACCCACAUCCUACUCCUCACUAAAUAUUCUUCUCUUAUAUACAAGAAACCAAUGCCGUCCAUAGAAGCUGAUGACAUAUCGUCUCCUUCUAGUAUUUUUCGUAUUCUUACUACUACCACUCCCCAAGUCGUACUGUAUGUGGACAAUGGCUGCAACGAAGAGGUCACCGAAAUCCCCUGA
rnacentral:rRNA from 1 species